GGAAGGGCUUAUAAUCCUUCCUGUGGGUGACUCGAAAUAACCUGUCGUGAGCGGGUUAAGGUAUGCAGAUCCCUGUGGUGGGGCUGGCAGAGUCCAAUCGGAUGAGCCAAAAGACAAAUACCAAGUCUAAUCUGUAGUUCGAAGUAGGUAAUCCAUGAACUGAUGUUCACGCCGAAAAGUUGGAGGUAUUCAGUAAUCCUCCCCCACGCCAA
rnacentral:ncRNA from 1 species